rnacentral:rRNA from 1 species
CUACGGGAUGCUCCAGUGGGGAAUAUUGCACAAUGGGCGCAAGCCUGAUGCAGCCAUGCCGCGUGUAUGAAGAAGGCCUUCGGGUUGUAAAGUACUUUCAGCGGGGAGGAAGGGAGUAAAGUUAAUACCUUUGCUCAUUGACGUUACCCGCAGAAGAAGCACCGGCUAACUCCGUGCCAGCAGCCGCGGUAAUACGGAGGGUGCAAGCGUUAAUCGGAAUUACUGGGCGUAAAGCGCACGCAGGCGGUUUGUUAAGUCAGAUGUGAAAUCCCCGGGCUCAACCUGGGAACUGCAUCUGAUACUGGCAAGCUUGAGUCUCGUAGAGGGGGGUAGAAUUCCAGGUGUAGCGGUGACAUGCGUAGAGAUCUGGAGGAAUACCGGUGGCGAAGGCGGCCCCCUGGACGAAGACUGACGCUCAGGUGCGAAAGCGUGGGGAGCAAACAGGAUUAGAUACCCGUGUAGUC